CCCGCUGAACUUAAGCAUAUCAAUAAGCGGAGGAAAAGAAACUAACAAGGAUUCCCCUAGUAACUGCGAGUGAAGCGGGAAAAGCUCAAAUUUAAAAUCUGAGGGUCUUACGGCCUUCCGAGUUGUAAUCUAGAGAAGUGCUAUCCGCGCUGGACCGUGUACAAGUCUCCUGGAACGGAGCGUCAUAGAGGGUGAGAAUCCCGUCUUUGACACGGACUACCAGGGCUUUUGUGAUGCGCUCUCAAAGAGUCGAGUUGUUUGGGAAUGCAGCUCUAAAUGGGUGGUAAAUUUCAUCUAAAGCUAAAUAUUGGCGAGAGACCGAUAGCGAACAAGUACCGUGAGGGAAAGAUGAAAAGAACUUUGGAAAGAGAGUUAAACAGUACGUGAAAUUGUUGAAAGGGAAACGCUUGAAGUCAGUCGCGUUGGCCAGGAAUCAACCUUGCUUUUGCUUGGCGUACUUUCUGGUUAACGGGUCAGCAUCAAUUUUGAUCGGUGGAUAAAGAUCAGGGGAAUGUGGCAUCUUCGGAUGUGUUAUAGCCUCUGGUCGCAUACAUCGGUUGGGAUUGAGGAACUCAGCACGCCGCAAGGCCGGGUUUUUACCACGUACGUGCUUAGGAUGCUGGCAUAAUGGCUUUAAUCGACCCGUCUUGAAACACGG
rnacentral:rRNA from 1 species